rnacentral:lncRNA from 1 species
CAAUAUCAGAGUCACUCCUGCGUCCUUGGAUGUAACACAUUUUGUCAGGAAAGUUCUUGACCGUAUGUCCAUCCAAUCAGAAACAAUAGCGGGAGGAGUCAACAGGGUCAGUUAUAGAACUGCGCCAAUCCAUCUCUAUGACACCUGCGACGCGGUUUUUGCAUUCUCUUGCGUGUUUGCGCGGUUCUGAAAAGGGAAAACCGAGAGAGAACGUCGGACAAAGAGCGAAAUAUUGGUAUUUAUUCAGCGCUGAAUGACAUAAAUGGGAUCUGGUUCUACAAAGUCAUUCCACACACCAGCGGAACGAUGGGCAACUGGGAAGUGCAGACAGGCUGUAAGUCAGUCAGGCAUGGUCACUUCAGUGCAGUUAGCCCCGGAUCCUGAAGGGAGUGGCUCUGUGACCCAGGGGGAUUUCUGACGGGUUGUGGAGGACUUCCUGCUCCCCAUCGGAAAGACCCAGCUGAAAGCCUUGCUGACGAAGCGCUCACACCUGACAGUUUGUCUUCUGUCUUUCCCACACAGUUUUCCACCCGUAAUAUCAGCACUUUGUUUCCCUCCCUCCCUCCUUGUUCAGUCUUUCCUUUCCUUAUUAAAAGUACUGUGUUUUUUUUUAGGGAAUUAGGGAGUUGUCGAAAGUUUACUUUAAAAGGACUAUACAGCAUGAGCUGCAGCUGCUGUGCUGGUGACAUUUUGAUGUGGAAGAUGUUUUGG